GUGAGGAAUAUUGGACAAUGGGCGCAAGCCUGAUCCAGCCAUGCCGCGUGCAGGAAGACGCAUCUAUGGUGUGUAAACUGCUUUUGUACGGGAAGAAACACUCCCUCGUGAGGGAGCUUGACGGUACCGUAAGAAUAAGGAUCGGCUAACUCCGUGCCAGCAGCCGCGGUAAUACGGAGGAUCCAAGCGUUAUCCGGAAUCAUUGGGUUUAAAGGGUCCGUAGGCGGUUUAAUAAGUCAGUGGUGAAAGCCCAUCGCUCAACGAUGGAACGGCCAUUGAUACUGUUAGACUUGAAUUACAAGUAAGUAACUAGAAUAUGUAGUGUAGCGGUGAAAUGCUUAGAUAUUACAUGGAAUACCAAUUGCGAAGGCAGGUUACUACUUGUGGAUUGACGCUGAUGGACGAAAGCGUGGGGAGCGAACAGGAUUAGAUACCCGUGUAGUCC
rnacentral:rRNA from 1 species